UGCAAGUCGAGCGAAUGGAUUAAGAGCUUGCUCUUAUGAAGUUAGCGGCCGACGGGUGAGUAACACGUGGGUAACCUGCCCAUAAGACUGGGAUAACUCCGGGAAACCGGGGCUAAUACCGGAUAACAUUUUGAACCGCAUGGUUCGAAAUUGAAAGGCGGCUUCGGCUGUCACUUAUGGAUGGACCCGCGUCGCAUUAGCUAGUUGGUGAGGUAACGGCUCACCAAGGCAACGAUGCGUAGCCGACCUGAGAGGGUGAUCGGCCACACUGGGACUGAGACACGGCCCAGACUCCUACGGGAGGCAGCAGUAGGGAAUCUUCCGCAAUGGACGAAAGUCUGACGGAGCAACGCCGCGUGAGUGAUGAAGGCUUUCGGGUCGUAAAACUCUGUUGUUAGGGAAGAACAAGUGCUAGUUGAAUAAGCUGGCACCUUGACGGUACCUAACCAGAAAGCCACGGCUAACUACGUGCCAGCAGCCGCGGUAAUACGUAGGUGGCAAGCGUUAUCCGGAAUUAUUGGGCGUAAAGCGCGCGCAGGUGGUUUCUUAAGUCUGAUGUGAAAGCCCACGGCUCAACCGUGGAGGGUCAUUGGAAACUGGGAGACUUGAGUGC
rnacentral:rRNA from 1 species